rnacentral:rRNA from 1 species
GUCUUUAUGGAUUUUUAUAAGGUUGAGCCUGCCCAAUGAUGUUUUAAAUGGCUGCGGUAUAUUGACCGUGCAAAGGUAGCAUAAUCAUUAGUCUUUUAAUUAGAGACUGGAAUGAAUGGUUUGACGAAAUAUAUACUGUCUAUUUAUAAAAUAUUGAAUUUUAUUUUUUAGUUAAAAAGCUAAAAUAUUAAUAAAAGACGAGAAGACCCUAUAGAGUUUAUAUUAUUAAUAAUUUAAAGUAUUAGAUUUGUAUUAUAUAUUAAGUUGUUAAUUAUAUUUUAUUGGGGUGAUAAGAGAAAAUGAGGGAACUUCUAUUUUUGGGUUACUUGGAUAGUAGGAAUAUAUUUAUGAUCUUGUAUUAUGGAUUGAAAGAAUAAAUUACCUUAGGGAUAACAGCGUAAUUUUGUUUGAGAGUUCAUAUCGAUGAUAAAGUUUGCGACCUCGAUGUUGGAUUAAGAUAACUAUUAGGUGUAGAAGUUUAAUAAGUAAGUCUGUUCGACUUUUUAAUUCUUACA